rnacentral:rRNA from 1 species
AGCGAACGCUGGCGGCAGGCUUAACACAUGCAAGUCGAGCGCCCGUAGCAAUACGGGAGCGGCAGACGGGUGAGGAACACGUGGGAACGUACCCUUCAGUUCGGAACAACCCAGGGAAACUUGGGCUAAUACCGGAUAAGCCCUUACGGGGAAAGAUUUAUCGCUGAAGGAUCGGCCCGCGUCUGAUUAGCUAGUUGGUGAGGUAAUGGCUCACCAAGGCGACGAUCAGUAGCUGGUCGAGAGGAUGAUCAGCCACACUGGACUGAGACACGGCCCAGACUCCUACGGGAGGCAGCAGUGGGGAAUAUUGGACAAUGGGCGCAAGCCUGAUCCAGCCAUGCCGCGUGAGUGAUGAAGG